AGAGUUUGAUCCUGGCUCAGGAUGAACGCUGGCGGCGUGCUUAACACAUGCAAGUCGAACGAAGCAUUUUGGAAGAAGUCUUCGGACGGAUUUUGGGAUCUGAGUGGCGGACGGGUGAGUAACGCGUGGGCAACCUGCCCUGUACAGGGGGAUAACAGCUGGAAACGGCUGCUAAUACCGCAUAAGCGCACAGGACCGCAUGGUCCGGUGUGAAAAACUCCGGUGGUACAGGAUGGGCCCGCGUCUGAUUAGGCAGUUGGCGGGGUGACGGCCCACCAAACCGACGAUCAGUAGCCGACCUGAGAGGGUGACCGGCCACAUUGGGACUGAGACACGGCCCAAACUCCUACGGGAGGCAGCAGUGGGGAAUAUUGCACAAUGGGCGCAGGCCUGAUGCAGCGACGCCGCGUGAGCGAAGAAGUAUUUCGGUAUGUAAAGCUCUGUCAGCAGGGAAGAAAACGACGGUACCUGCACAAGAAGCUCCGGCUAAAUACGUGCCAGCAGCCGCGGUAAUACGUAUGGAGCAAGCGUUAUCCGGAAUUACUGGGUGUAAAGGGAGCGUAGACGGCAUGGCAAGUCUGGUGUGAAAGACCGGGGCUCAACUCCGGGCCUGCAUUGGAAACUGUCAAGCUUGAGUGCCGGAGAGGUAAGCGGAAUUCCUAGUGUAGCGGUGAAAUGCGUAGAUAUUAGGAGGAACACCAGUGGCGAAGGCGGCUUACUGAACGGUAACUGACGUUGAGGCUCGAAGGCGUGGGGAGCAAACAGGAUUAGAUACCCUGGUAGUCCACGCAGUAAACGAU
rnacentral:rRNA from 1 species